rnacentral:rRNA from 1 species
AACGAACGCUGGCGGCAUGCCUAACACAUGCAAGUCGAACGAGACCUUCGGGUCUAGUGGCGCACGGGUGCGUAACGCGUGGGAACCUGCCCUUAGGUUCGGAAUAACUCCCCGAAAGGGGUGCUAAUACCGGAUAAUGUCUUCGGACCAAAGAUUUAUCGCCUUUGGAUGGGCCCGCGUUGGAUUAGCUAGUUGGUAGGGUAAAAGCCUACCAAGGCGACGAUCCAUAGCUGGUCUGAGAGGAUGAUCAGCCACACUGGGACUGAGACACGGCCCAGACCACAGAGGGGAGGAGGAGGGGGGGAAUAGGGAAAAGGGGGAGAAGGCUGAACCAAGCAAGGCGGGGGGAGUGAGGAGGGCGUUGGGGUUAAAAAGCUUUUUACCCGGGGAGAAAAAUAAAAGAACGGGGAAAAGAGCCCCCGGAAAACCCCGGG